rnacentral:rRNA from 1 species
AUUGAACGCUGGCGGCAGGCCUAACACAUGCAAGUCGAGCGGAUGAAGGGAGCUUGCUCCUGGAUUCAGCGGCGGACGGGUGAGUAAUGCCUAGGAAUCUGCCUGGUUGUGGGGGAUAACGUCCGGAAACGGGCGCUAAUACCGCAUACGUCCUGAGGGUGAAAGUGGGGGAGCUUCGGACCUCAUGCUAUCAGAUGAGCCUAGGUCGGAUUAGCUAGUUGGUGGGGUAAAGGCCUACCAAGGCGACGAUCCGUAACUGGUCUGAGAGGAUGAUCAGUCACACUGGAACUGAGACACGGUCCAGACUACUACGGGAGGCAGCAGUGGGGAAUAUUGGACAAUGGGCGAAAGCCUGAUCCAGCCAUGCCGCGUGUGUGAAGAAGGUCUUCGGAUUGUAAAGCACUUUAAGUUGGGAGGAAGGGCAGUAAGUUAAUACCUUGCUGUUUUGACGGUACCAACAGAAUAAGCACCGGCUAACUUCGUG